CCUACGGGCGGCAGCAGUGGGGAAUAUUGGACAAUGGGGGGAACCCUGAUCCAGCCAUGCCGCGUGUGUGAAGAAGGCCCUCGGGUUGUAAAGCACUUUCAGUGAGGAAGAACGCCUGGUGGUUAAUACCCAUCAGGAAAGACAUCACUCACAGAAGAAGCACCGGCUAACUCCGUGCCAGCAGCCGCGGUAAUACGGAGGGUGCGAGCGUUAAUCGGAAUUACUGGGCGUAAAGCGCGCGUAGGUGGCUUGAUAAGCCGGUUGUGAAAGCCCCGGGCUCAACCUGGGAACGGCAUCCGGAACUGUCAAGCUAGAGUGCAGGAGAGGAAGGUAGCAUUCCCGGUGUAGCGGUGAAAUGCGUAGAGAUCGGGAGGAAUACCAGUGGCGAAGGCGGCCUUCUGGACUGACACUGACACUGAGGUGCGAAAGCGUGGGUAGCAAACAGGAUUAGAUACCCGGGUAGUC
rnacentral:rRNA from 1 species